rnacentral:sRNA from 1 species
AACUACCCCAGAUAGUAGCGAUAGCUUUUGAUUAAUGCAAAGCAUUUAUUAAAACUAAAGCGAAUAGCUGGAAAUAGG